rnacentral:rRNA from 1 species
CUUGGUCAUUUAGAGGAAGUAAAAGUCGUAACAAGGUUCCCGUAGGUGAACCUGCGGAAGGAUCAUUAACGAAUGAAGUUGAGCAGGGUUGUCGCUGGCCUCCGGGCAUGUGCACACCUUGUUCUUCCAACCUUCUACACCACUGUGCACUUUCUCAUGGGUUGGGGUUCUGCGCCUUUAAUGGCUGCGUCCCUGCCUGUGUGCCUACACAUACACAUGUUUGUUAUAGAAUGUCUACUGUGCAUGAAUGCAUAUAAUACAACUUUCAGCAACGGAUCUCUUGGCUCUCGCAUCGAUGAAGAACGCAGCGAAAUGCGAUAAGUAAUGUGAAUUGCAGAAUUCAGUGAAUCAUCGAAUCUUUGGACGCACCUUGCGCUCCUUGGUAUUCCGAGGAGCAUGCCUGUUUGAGUGUCAUGGUAUUCUCAAUCUCUUCUGCUUUGCUGCAGCUGAGAUUGGACUUGGAGGCUUGCAGGCGGAUUGACUUCUGUCUGCUCCUCUGAAAUGCAUUAGUUUGGACUGUCUCCGAGCAUGCUUCAGCGUGAUAAUUGUCUGCGCUGCUGCACUCGGUACAAAAAUGUCCCUGCUUACAACCGUCCCUCUGUGGACAACCUUUACACUUCUGACCUCAAAUCAGGUAGGACUACCCGCUGAACUUAAGCAUAUCAAUAAGCGGAGGA